AUCUUGGAGCAGUUUGAUAAAUUGAAUGCCAAGCCCAGGCACUCUCAUUUGAUCCAGCGUAUUAUACCCGAGAUUCGGAAUUACUUUUCCAAAGCACUUGCCAAACCUAACCCACAUAACUUGCGGCUGUAGAUUGCUGGUAUUUGAUUCUUGGUGUCUGACUAGAUAACGUUGUACAGAGAGUGGUAGAUCUUCUCAUUGAUGUCCAGCCAUUUGAAAGUCCUAAUAGGUUGGUUAACUUCCCUGGUGCCAGAGUGCUACUGCUUGCGUAUGGACUGUAACAUUGUUUCCAUUUUAUUGGAUGUCGUCGAUGGGCUAUGUUCUUCACCAACAUUACUGUUGUUGCCAUGUAUUGUUAUGCAUUUUACAACUCUUUUAGUGAGUUGGCAUUUGGUGAGAGAGCAAUAGUUGAUUUCCUGAAAUUCUGAAUUUCAGGUCUAUAAUCUAAUAUCUUUCUCAAGGACUCGGGUGCUUUAAUGUAU
rnacentral:misc_RNA from 1 species